ACUAUGGCUUCUGGAGUGUCUGCUGCCAGCCACCGUCCAGCUAGGAUCUGCCACAGUGCUUGUGGGUGAGCUGCUUACGGCCUUGUGCUUGAAACGGCCAGCAACGGCUUUGUCACACUGGAAUGCACCUCAAGUGUGGCACGACCCGUACCCAUGGAGGGCAGGGCUGGACGCUGACCUUGAGCGUCGGAUCACUGCUGUUUCACGGACAGACUGUGUAGUCACGAAUGCGGGCAGUGAAUACAAGACAGCAACUGUUGUUGAGACUGCCUGGGAGGCCACACUUGACGCACUUGUUAAGCAGGGCCUGGCGUUCCUUGACUCAACAGAGACAUUGCCAGCGUGCCUCUGCUCUGGAGUUACGGGUGCCAUUUUACUGACACGCUUGUGGCGAAUGCAAGUGAAGCAAGACCUGUUU